UACGUAGGGGGCAAGCGUUGUCCGGAUUUAUUGGGCGUAAAGAGCGUGUAGGCGGCCAGGUAGGUCCGUUGUGAAAACUCGAGGCUCAACCUCGAGACGUCGGCGGAAACCCUCUGGCUAGAGUCCGGGAAGAGGAGAGUGGAAUUCCUGGUGUAGCGGUGAAAUGCGCAGAUAUCAGGAAGAACACCCGUGGCGAAGGCGGCUCUCUGGGACGGUACUGACGCUGAGACGCGAAAGCGUGGGGAGCAA
rnacentral:rRNA from 1 species